rnacentral:lncRNA from 12 species
CCAAUAUGGCGGCCUCCAUGUCCUAGUCCAAGAUGGCAGCCCCUGUGUCCCAAUCCAAUAUGGCUGAUCCAACAUGGCCGCCCCCCGUCCAACAUGGCCGCCCCCAGUCCGACAUGGCCGCCCCCAGUCCAAGAUGGCUGCCCUCACAUCCCAAUCCAAUAUGGCUGAUCCAAUAUGGCACCUUCCGUGUCCCAGUCCAAUAUGGCUGCCCUCACAUCCCAAUCCAAUA